AUUGAACGCUGGCGGCAGGCCUAACACAUGCAAGUCGAGCGGAUGAAGGGAGCUUGCUCCUGGAUUCAGCGGCGGACGGGUGAGUAAUGCCUAGGAAUCUGCCUGGUAGUGGGGGAUAACGUCCGGAAACGGGCGCUAAUACCGCAUACGUCCUGAGGGAGAAAGUGGGGGAUCUUCGGACCUCACGCUAUCAGAUGAGCCUAGGUCGGAUUAGCUAGUUGGUGGGGUAAAGGCCUACCAAGGCGACGAUCCGUAACUGGUCUGAGAGGAUGAUCAGUCACACUGGAACUGAGACACGGUCCCGACUCCCACGGGAGGCAGCAGUGGGGAAUAUUGGACAAUGGGCGAAAGCCUGAUCCAGCCAUGCCGCGUGUGUGAAGAAGGUCUUCGGAUUUUAAAGCACUUUAAGUUGGGAGGAAGGGCAGUAAGUUAAUACCUUGCUGUUUUGACGUUACCAACAGAAUAAGCACCGGCUAACUUCGUG
rnacentral:rRNA from 1 species